UAUGUAGGGCGCAAGCGUUAUCCGGAAUUAUUGGGCGUAAAGAGCUCGUAGGCGGUUUGUCGCGUCUGCCGUGAAAGUCCGGGGCUCAACUCCGGAUCUGCGGUGGGUACGGGCAGACUAGAGUGAUGUAGGGGAGACUGGAAUUCCUGGUGUAGCGGUGAAAUGCGCAGAUAUCAGGAGGAACACCGGUGGCGAAGGCGGGUCUCUGGGCCGAUACUGACGCUGAGGAGCGAAAGCGUGGGGAGCAAACAGG
rnacentral:rRNA from 1 species